UUUUAAAAAAGUUGUUCUAUUCUUUGCACGAACGGAGAAACGCAGGAGAGGUGGAAGGAGCGUCAUCUUAUAGCUUUAAAACGUCAAAGACAAAAAUCUUUAGAGACGGACGGCAUUGGAGGCUGACAUGAAUGUUUGUGGCAAAUGUCAUGUCUGUUGCCUUCAAUUUCAAAUGACAAAUCGAAAAUUUUUUGUUGUGUUUUUUACAGUUACCUUGUUAAAGUAACCGAUUUAUAUAUUUCUGAGAAAACUGUUAUUCGUCCAAAUUGACAACGUGACAUACUGAAAAUACUGUUUCUGAAAAUCAGGAAGUAAGAUCAUCUUUACGAUCAGCGAUUAUUGUGGCCUUUGAAUUUCCAACAAGAGGGGUUCAAGGCGUUUUUGUUGCGGUUCAAUUUUUUCCUGGUUUAACAUAUUUUCAAAUUACAUUUAAAACUGUUCAGUUUUCCUCUGUUUCAGAUUACAAUAACAAUAAUCCGCCUUCAAAUUUUGCGUACAGUUGGGCACUCAGGGAGAUAUACAAAAAUGCCUUUUUAUUUUAGAGAUUGCAGCACUUUUGUUGCCAUUGUAAGAAUGACUGUGUGUUCGUGGUCUGGGGCUUCAUUUGUAUACAAAAAAAUCGCCAAAAAACUGUAAAAUGUUUAUUUCUCUAACUCAACCUCGCUGAAACAUUACAAAUUAGUUCUGAGAGUGAACUGGAAUACUCUAAUCGAUUAUUUAUCUCGGUACUUUUUUAUCUGGAGGGAAAAAAUCAGACAUGGCAUAGAAAUCGUUCCAAGAUGUUUGAUUCUUACAGACACAUUUCUUAAGCUUGCAAUGACAAUUCAAAAAUAGUUUUCGUGGUUUUUUUUUUCCAGUUGUAUAUAGUUUAAGUAAGUUAGUUAUUUACGAAAACCAUAGGUUAACAGAAUGGCGAUGCCCCCAAGAAACGAAUAAUUUUAAAGCCGAAUUUAUAGUUGAUUUCAUCGACUAUGUAGAGAAUUAAUUCAAUUGCGCUUUUUUUUUAUCUAAAGUCUCUUUUACAUUUGUAAAGGUGUUUUAAUCAAAAUAAAGAAUUAAUGUAGUCAUCCUUUCAUAACGGUUUUCAGCAUGUCCACUACUGCCUGCUCCGUUCCACGGAAGAAAGCUUGGAUGUCCAAGAAAUAGAGUGGAUUAUGAUACGGUCUGUCACUUCUCAUGUAAUGAUGGCUAUAUAGGAUCUGGUUCUCAAGUAAGACGAUGUCAACACAGUGGAACUUGGAGCGGACAGGAGUUUGUUUGUCAACCUGUCACGUGCCCGUUACCUACCAAUGCUGUUCUUUUGGGAUGCAACUCUAGUACGAUAGAGAUGUUAUAUGGCACAGAAUGCAGAUUCUCUUGUACGGAAGGAUCUGAGGUGACCACUUCAACAAUAAGAUGUAACAAAAAUGGAAAGUGGAGUGGGGCAAAGCUUGCAUGUACAGGUAUAAUACCUGCGAACACUCAGUAGAAUGAAAAUGCAAAGGAGUAAUUCAGGUGGUUCGAGAAGUUUGGUUUCUUGAUAUUUUAAUGAUCGUGGAUGACAAAUCAAUUCACGGUCGUCAAUUAGCUGAUUAUAGUUUGCAAUGAUUUUAAAUUGCGGUGGUCGAUUUAAAAUUUUUGCAACCUUUUUUUUUCUGGUUACGCAGUCUAUUUAAUGCAUUUAUGCAUUGAUCUAUUGAUGCAAGAUCGCAGAAUACAAAAUCCUCGACGAUCUUCAAUAGCCAGUCAAUUCACAACUUUCAACAAUCUCACUGUGGUUUGCAAUGACUGUAGAUUUCGAUGAUCGAUCUAGAAUUGUUGCACAUUCUCAGUUUUAUUUCUGGCUAAGCGGUCUUUUCCUAGCAUCCUUACAUUGAUCUACCCUUGUACGAUUAAAUUCAAUAUCUUGAAAAUCUUGAAUCGGUAAUCGAUGAAGGAUCGUAAAUGUACUUUUCUAGUUUGCAAUGAUUGUAGAUUGCGAUAGUCGAUCUAAAAUCAUUACAAAUCCAAAUUCGUCUCUCUGGCUCAGGCUACACCACUGUCUAAUGCAUCUAUGAUUUGACAUGGUGAUGCACGAUCGAAUUCCCCAAACUCGACAAUCUUGAAUCACCAAUCGAUACAGGAUCUUAGGGAUUUUAGUUCACGAUGGUCAAUCUGACAUCGCUGCAACAUUCCUCCUUGUUUUUUUGCUGUGUUUAACACGAGAUUAAGCGGGGAUUGAUCGAUUUACCAUCGCAGAAUGGAUUAUCACUAUCUGUGUAACGGCACAUUUACAUUUUGCAAUGUUUAGUCUAAUCAAGAUAUCGAUACCGACUGUAACAAGGGAUGCAUUCAGGUCUCAUAGUACAGUCUUCCUUUAUGAGUGCUGAUUUUCUGGUGAGCUCGUUUCCCCCAUAGCUUUAGGGCUACAUUGCAAUAUUGUCACAGACAGGGACAGCUUGGAACUCGCUGCACAACCUCACGCAAGAAAUGAACCGACUAAAAUAACGCAAGGUUAAUCAGCCAGACACCAGAAAAAAGACUUGUUUGGGAAGAUUGAAAAUUGAAGAUUGAAAAGUUCAAGUUCAAUGCUGACCUUCAGUAAAGGACCAUGAGCCUCGACAAAAAUGAUUAAUUAAAGCGAUCACAUGUCCAAUGUACGUUGCCUUCACCAUCCAAUGGAACAAGACUCGAUUGUCUAAGAAAUCCGACAGUCUGUGUUGGGUCAGUCUGUCAGUUUGCAUGGAAUGCUGACUAUGUAGGAUACGGUU